GAACGCACAUUGCGCCCGCUAGUAUUCUGGCGGGCAUGCCUGUUCGAGCGUCAUUUCAACCAUCAAGCCCCCGGCUUGCGUUGGAGCCCUGCGGCUGCCGCAGGCUCCCAAAUCCAGUGGCGGGCUCGUCGUCGUACCGAGUGCAGUAAACAUCCUCGCUCAGGGAACGCGGCGGGUUCUUGCCGUGAAACCCCCCCCCACAUCAAGGUUGACCUCGGAUCAGGUAGGAAUACCCGCUGAACUUAAG
rnacentral:misc_RNA from 1 species